rnacentral:tRNA from 1 species
UCCCAGGUCGUCUAGUGGUUAGGAUUCGGCGCUCUCACCGCCACGGCCUGGGUUCUACUCCCAGUCAUGGAA